CUCGCAGGCAGGCGAGGUGCGCGUAGUACGUGGGCGUGGGGUAGGACACGGAGCGCAUGCAGCGCGAGUACAGGUGGCACAGGUAGUAUGUGAGCUGCUCCACCUCGUGGUCCUUCAGGUUGCCGUCGUUGCACACGGCGUGGUAGCGCGUGGGACGCGCGGUGCCCUUGAUGGCUUGGUGCGAUACC